rnacentral:rRNA from 1 species
GAUGAACGCUGGCGGCGUGCCUAAUACAUGCAAGUCGAGCGAACGGACGAGAAGCUUGCUUCUCUGAUGUUAGCGGCGGACGGGUGAGUAACACGUGGAUAACCUACCUAUAAGACUGGGAUAACUUCGGGAAACCGGAGCUAAUACCGGAUAAUAUUUUGAACCGCAUGGUUCAAAAGUGAAAGACGGCCUUGCUGUCACUUAUAGAUGGAUCCGCGCUGCAUUAGCUAGUUGGUAAGGUAACGGCUUACCAAGGCAACGAUGCAUAGCCGACCUGAGAGGGUGAUCGGCCACACUGGAACUGAGACACGGUCCAGACUCCUACGGGAGGCAGCAGUAGGGAAUCUUCCGCAAAGGGCGAAAGCCUGACGGAGCAACGCCGCGUGAGUGAUGAAGGUCUUCGGAUCGUAAAACUCUGUUAUUAGGGAAGAACAUAUGUGUAGGUAACUGUGCACAUCUUGACGGUACCUAAUCAGAAAGCCACGGCUAACUACGUG